rnacentral:rRNA from 1 species
UACGGAGGGUGCAAGCGUUAUCCGGAUUCACUGGGUUUAAAGGGUGCGUAGGUGGGCAGGUAAGUCAGUGGUGAAAUCUCCGGGCUUAACUCGGAAACUGCCAUUGAUACUAUCUUUCUUGAAUACCCGUGGAGGUCAGCGGAAUAUGUCAUGUAGCGGUGGAAAUGCUUAGAUAUGACAUAGAACACCAAUUGCGAAGGCAGCUGGCUACACGAAUAUUGACACUGAUGCACGAAGCGUGGGGAUCAAAACAGGGAAUUGAGACUACCCC